rnacentral:lncRNA from 1 species
UGAUUUAUAAUGUUAUUUGUUCUUCGUUUUCAAAGAGGACUAAUGACUUCACAAGGGUGAUAUCUUGACUUGCAAAUGAAUUGGAUUUAAGUAAGGCAGAAUUACACAAAAUCAUCAGUUUCACUCUCUCUUCCAGAGUCAUUGAAAUCCAGUAACAAGACAAAAGUCGGGACAACUGGCAAAAACCUGGGAUGCAGUGGAUGAAUUUGACACCUUUGAUGGGUAACCAAGUUCUAAGCACUUCACAAUGCCUGCUUCAGCUGCCUUUAUGACCUUUGGAACAAAUUGUUCUCAUUCACCUAUUCUUCCAGGGAAUGUCAUCUCAUGCUUGGGGUAAGCAUCUCUCCUAACUCACAGACAGGUUUGAGACAUGGAAGCAUCUUGCCCUCCUGGGUAAUAACUUCUCUUGCCUUAUAACUCUGAAGAUCUCAGUCAGCUUCCAUAUGAGCAGUGGAUUCCCUACCUUGUAAAUCUCUUCUGGGAUAGAAUCAGCACCAGGACUCAUGGAUUUUCGGAGGUUUAUGCACUAUCUAGAAACUGCCAGGAUCUUGAAGAGUCUGACGGAGUGUAGCUAAAUGGCAGAUGUGGGUUAUCCUGGGCUCUUGCUGCCUUACUUUGAGGAGAGACACCUUAACUUCUCAUCAAUAACUUCACCACUGGGCAGUUGGAGAUAAAUUCCAACCUGAUUUUGGAGUUCUGAAGAGUUUGGCUGGGGAAUUUUAGCUACAAUGGCAAAGGCAGCUUCAGAAAUUAUUUAUAUAGCAUGUUGAGAGGUCAUCUGUAACUACUUUAAAAUUGAUACAUAAAAUCUUGAGGUAAACUUUAAAAUCUGCAUAUGUUUGAAUUAUUUUAAUUGGAAUAUUUUCAUC